UGAGGGAGGGGACGUCCAGGUGUCUGGAAUCACCGGCGCUCUGCUUUAUAGGGGUGAUUUGAUUGUUUCCACUUAUUUGCUGUUACAUCAAAUGCCUACAGGAGUUAUCCACUUGUGAAUGUGAAGAAAAAUAUCUUUACCAAGAGCUUGUGCAUCUUCAACUUUACCAGAGUUUUUUGGAUUCUGGAAACCUACAGACACUGUGGACCUGUAGUACCUACCUCUAGGAUUGUUGGAAGGUCUGGGUAAGUUAAUUUAUGUAAAACACUAACUAUGGCCUGGCACCCGGCAUGAGCCAAGUGCAGUCUCUUAUAACUAUUACAUAGUUCGCUCAGAAUCUCCUCAGUCACAUCUCUCUCUCCACUCAUAUAUCCUCCAUCUGGUUUAUCUUCUCUUUAGGAAGUCAUAGGGCCAGUCCCCACUUAGGAGUGGAAU